rnacentral:other from 1 species
GUCCAACUGCGGCGUUGGUGACUGCCAACAACGUUUUCUGAUCUAUGCUUUUCACUUAAGGGGACUGAGAUGCCCUGGCGGCAGUAUACCGGGCUUGUUCUCGGAAACUAUAAGCCAGUGGCCUUGGUUCCCACCUGGUUUACCCAGGUCAAAAACUGAGGUAAGACGGCGCUGCGGUUGGCUA